rnacentral:rRNA from 1 species
UACGGGGGGGGUAAGCGUUGUUCGGAAUUACUGGGCGUAAAGCGUACGUAGGCGGCUUUGUAAGUUAGAGGUGAAAGCCCGGAGCUCAACUCCGGAAUUGCCUUUAAGACUGCAUCGCUUGAAUCAUGGAGAGGUGAGUGGAAUUCCGAGUGUAGAGGUGAAAUUCGUAGAUAUUCGGAAGAACACCAGUGGCGAAGGCGACUCACUGGACAUGUAUUGACGCUGAGGUACGAAAGCGUGGGGAGCAAACAGG